AGAGUUUGAUCAUGGCUCAGGAUGAAUGCUGGCGGCGUGGAUAAGUCAUGCAAGUCAAGGGGGCCCGCAAGGGCAACCGGCAAACGAGGUAGUAACACGUAGGUACGUCCCCCGAAGUCGGGCAUAGCUAGCCGAAAGGUUAGGUAAUUCCCGAUAGUCCCGCAAGGGUAAAGGUUUUUCGCUUCGGGAGCGGCCUGCGUAGUAUCAGCUAGUUGGUAGGGUAAUGGCCUACCAAGGCUACGACGCUUAGGGGAGCUGAGAGGCUGACCCCCACCGAUGGAACUGCGACACGGUCCAUACUCCUACGGGAGGCUGCAGACGAGAAUAUUCCGCAAUGGACGAAAGUCUGACGGAGCGACGCCGCGUGCUGGAUGAAGUGCCUUGGUACGUAAACAGCUUUUAUCGGGGACGAAGUUUAUUGACGGUACCCGAUGAAUAAGGGGCUCCUAACUCUGUGCCAGCAGGAGCGGUAAUACAGAGGCCCCAAGCAUUAUCCGGAAUCACUGGGCGUAAAGGGUGUCUAGGCGGCCAUAUUAGUCUCUCGUUAAAUCUGCGGGCUCAACCUGCAGGCUGCGAGGGAAACGGUAUGGCUCGAGGGCGUAAGGGGUGCAUGGAACUCAUGGUGGAGGGGUGAAAUCCGUUGAUAUCAUGGGGAACACCAAAAGCGAAGGCAAUGCACUGGUACGUUCCUGACGCUCAAACACGAAAGCCAGGGUAGCGAAUGGGAUUAGAUACCCCAGUAGUCCUGGCCCUCAACGUUGCUCGCUCGCUUUACGGAGUAUCGACCCUCUGUGAGGCUAAGCUAACGCGGUAAGCGAGCCGCCUGGGUAGUACGAUCGCAAGAUUAAAACUCAAAGGAAUUGACGG
rnacentral:rRNA from 1 species